rnacentral:rRNA from 1 species
UUAGUUCGUGGAGUGAUCUGUCUGCUUAAUUGCGUUUCAAAUUCUAUUGUUGAGUACCAGGUCCUAAGAGUUUCAAGCAAAUCUGUCUCUGAGUGUGAACUGUAUGUCUUCGGAUAUGCGACUAUCGCUCUAGACAACUAUGAUCUGCUUGUAGCCUCUGGUACUCUUUUGAACGCAACGGACGUGAUUGCAACCCCUUGUUGAGUUUGCUUCUCUUAGGAACUCUACGUCUGCUGAACCACCUACCUUAGCGGGUAGGUGGUGAGGUGGAUAAACUCGGGGGACUGCUGACUAUAACCAUUUCUCAAAACAGAGGAAGGUUGCGGCAAUAACAGGUCUGUGAUGCCCUCAGAUGUCCCGGGCUGCACACGUGCUACAAUGAGUAGCGCAGUGUGCACAUUUUGAAGAGUGAUAGGUGCUGGGGAUUGUAUAUUUCAUGGGCUCGUCCUGGUAACCAACCGCCCCCAGCAUCUAUCAACCUUCCCUUUACAGGGUGGGUAACCUCUUCGAAAUGCUGGUUUGAUUCUCUUAGUGUUUGUCAUUUUAUUCCUCGUCGCAGCUGCUCUAGGACAUAGUGAACACUGUAAAGUGAUUCCCGUCUUAGGCUUGUGACGCGUGCUUUUCCUGGUUGACUCAUC